AACCUGACUUGAAUGAGCCGAGCUAAACAUCCGCGCUUAAAUUGGUUCCAUAACAGUAAAUUGAGGAUCAUGUGAUCUUACUAAUUUGAGUCAGGUUUAAAUAGUCUAGAUAAUUGCGCGUGCACGCCAUUGUUUAAAAGUCCUGAAAAGUCGAGCAUGGGUCAAUCGAUUUACUGUGGGCUACCAUGGCAACAAAAGGAAAAGAUAGAGCAGCGAUGUUCACGGCAACGGAACAGCGUUUGCUAUUGGAAACAUAUGAAGAAUUUAAAGAUGUCAUCACCAAAAAAGGCAAUACAGCGGCAAUAAAUAAAGCAAGAGAGAAAGGUUGGCAGGAAAUUGCUGAUCGUCUCAAUGCCAGCAACUUAAGUGAAGGAAAAAGAACCUGGCAGCAGGUGAAAAUAAAAUAUAAAAAUAUAGUUCAGAAUGCGACCAAAAAGAAGACUGAGGUUGCUGGCACUGGGGGAGGGCCACCACCAGCCAGCUUCACUCCUGCAGAGGAGCUGGCUUUGGAAAUUAAUAAAGGGAGGCCCGUCCUUGAGGGAAUAGAGGGGGGGGGACAUCAUCUAAAAUGAUAUCACCUAGUAUAAGGAGUGAGUAUAUAAAAGUGACAAAAGAUUCUGUAUGCUUUAUGGAUCCACCAGACAUCAU